rnacentral:ncRNA from 1 species
GUGUUAUAUCAAAGUGGAGAAGGUUAGCACGUCCCUUGACAAGGACAGAGAGGCCUUUGGCCUGACAACAUGCAUACCAUUAAGGCACUGCCAACUAUCUGGGUGGCAUUUAACCAUUAUAUUUC